CGCCAGACUCCUACGGGAGGCAGCAGGGGGGAAUAUUGGGCAAUGGGCGCAAGCCUGACCCAGCAACGCCGCGUGAAGGAAGAAGGCUUUCGGGUUGUAAACUUCUUUUCUGGGGGACGAACAAAUGACGGUACCCCAGGAAUAAGCCACGGCUAACUACGUGCCAGCAGCCGCGGUAAUACGUAGGUGGCAAGCGUUAUCCGGAUUUAUUGGGUGUAAAGGGCGUGUAGGCGGGAAUGCAAGUCAGAUGUGAAACCUAUGGGCUCAACCCAUAGCCUGCAUUUGAAACUGUAUUUCUUGAGUGCUGGAGAGGCAAUCGGAAUUCCGUGUGUAGCGGUGAAAUGCGUAGAUAUACGGAGGAACACCAGUGGCGAAGGCGGAUUGCUGGACAGUAACUGACGCUGAGGCGCGAAAGCUUGGGGAGCAAACAGGAUUAGAUCCCCGCGUA
rnacentral:rRNA from 1 species